rnacentral:rRNA from 1 species
GAGGAAGUAAAAGUCGUAACAAGGUUUCCGUAGGUGAACCUGCGGAAGGAUCAUUAAUGAAUUUUAUGGCGGAAUUGUAGCUGGCCCCAACCGGGCAUGUGCACAUUCUGUUCAUUCCAUUCUCAUACACCUCUGUGCACUUUACAUAGGUUUGGUAUAGAAAAGGUCUUUAUUGACUUUGGAAAUACUGACCUAUGCUUUUAUAAACGCUUCAGUUUUAGAAUGUCAUCCGCGUAUAACGCAAUAAAUACAACUUUCAGCAACGGAUCUCUUGGCUCUCGCAUCGAUGAAGAACGCAGCGAAAUGCGAUAAGUAAUGUGAAUUGCAGAAUUCAGUGAAUCAUCGAAUCUUUGAACGCAUCUUGCGCCCUUUGGUAUUCYGAAGGGCAUGCCUGUUUGAGUGUCAUGGUAUUCUCAAUACCCCAAAUCUUUGCGGAUAAGGGUGUGUUGGACUUGGAGGUUUUUGCAGGUAAUGAUUGRAUUACCAGCUCCUCUUAAAUGCAUUAGCAGAGAUAAUACUGCUACUCUCCAGUGUGAUAAUUGUCUACACUGUUAGUAGUGCGGUAUAACAAAAUGUCUAUGCUUCUAAUCGUCUUCGGACAACUUUUGACAAUCUGACCUCAAAUCAGGUAGG